rnacentral:rRNA from 1 species
GAUGAACGCUGGCGGCGUGCCUAAUACAUGCAAGUCGAGCGAACAGACGAGGAGCUUGCUCCUCUGACGUUAGCGGCGGGCGGGUGAGUAACACGUGGAUAACCUACCUAUAAGACUGGGAUAACUUCGGGAAACCGGAGCUAAUACCGGAUAAUAUAUUGAACCGCAUGGUUCAAUAGUGAAAGACGGUUUUGCUGUCACUUAUUGAUGGAUCCGCGCCGCAUUAGCUAGUUGGUAAGGUAACGGCUUACCAAGGCAACGAUGCGUAGCCGACCUGAGAGGGUGAUCGGCCACACUGGAACUGAGACACGGUCCAGACUCCUACGGGAGGCAGCAGUAGGGAAUCUUCCGCAAUGGGCGAAAGCUUGACGGAGCAACGCCGCGUGAGUGAUGAAGGUCUUCGGAUCGUAAAACUCUGUUAUUAGGGAAGAACAAAUGUGUAAGUAACUAUGCACGUCUUGACGGUACCUAAUCAGAAAGCCACGGCUAACUACGUG